rnacentral:lncRNA from 10 species
CUAAAACUGAGCAUCCAGUGGACAGAUGUCAGGAGUUAAGGUGGAGGGGGCAGAAGAGAGGCGAAAGAUGAGUGACAGCACUGAUCUUCUCAUCCUCCAGAAGGGAAAGUUCAUUGAUACCAUCUAAAGUUGGAUAACACACGCAGCAGAGGGCACAACUCCUGGCAAUUAUUACCCCAGGGUUAUUUACUGCCACGAAGGACAAAAGAGGAAGGAAGUGGCAACUAAGAGGCCUGGAACUUCAAGGUUUGCUCCUGGACUUCAUCCUGUACCAAAAAAUUGUGGUUGUCCCUGAAACUCAGGGAUAAGGGGAAAUGGUGUAUUCCAAAGAGCAUGUGCCCUUCACGUACCAAACAAUCCCCAGAGGCAAAAAUAAUACUCAUAACUACCACUAUUUAUGUUUAUUGAGUGCCUACUCGGCUCUCCACACCUUCCUAAGCUUUUCACCCCACUACAAUCCUGUAAGGGAGAUACUAUUGUACCCAUUUUGUAGAUGCAGAGACAGGGGUUAAAAUUUAUCCAAAGCCACACUGUAGAGAGGGAAAGAGCCAGACUCUCCCCCGGGGAUGGGGUUCCGGAGCACUUCACUGUACUGCCUCACUAGUAGCAGGGAUGGCAAGGAAAGCAGAAAAUCCUGGGCUGGUGUUCUCUGCAGCCCUCCCAAAGGGUCCCUGGUCCCUCUCCAGAGGCUACCUGGGUCAGACCUUAGGAUCUACACGGCUUUAGGAGUCACAGGGGCUCCAUCAGGGCAGCUGUGGUCCAGAGGCCACCCGUUCUCCUACUCAGAGGCUCUUGGGGCAGGUAUUGGGGGCUGCAGUCAGUCCUCUUUCUUCCUCCCUGUCACAUCCACACCUCCACCACGUUGGCUCUGGGGACCCAAAGCAGGAGCUCCAUGCCCAGCUGCAGAUCCUGCGUGCUAGGCUGGCUCACAGGUAGUCAUUUACCGUGAGGCAGGGCCAAGCCUACCUCCCAUGAUCCCCACCCCCAGGCCCGGCUUCCUCACGCAGGUCCCUGUGGGGGCAGUUGCAGCUCCUCCACUCAGGCAGGUGCAAGGAAUAGAGUGGACACUGACAAUCAUUCUGCAUUUGGGGCAAGGAAUUCCCCCUCCCCACUCAGUCGCACACAUAUACACGCACCCAAGAACUCCUUAUUUCCUGGGGACCACAAUGGCUCUCCUUAUCCGACAGAAGAACAAAACCUUUUUAAGCCUCAGCCUGUAAGAUCAGUGCCAGCCUAUUUCCAGGCACUUGUAAGAAUCCCUUUCAUUACCAUCAGCUCCUCUUUCUGCCAUGGCCAUGUUGUAAGGCUUUUCUUGAGCCUCCCUUUUCUCUCCCUGCACCUUGGACUUGUGCUUCUCCAACCCCCUGUCGCUCUUUCAGUUCGCCUCUUCCUGCUUUUGUCCUUCCUUUCAUGGUUAACAUUGAUCUCUGCCUGGUGGGUUUUGUGAAGUUUCCUGGUAUGAAUCUUUCAUCUUCAACCUCCCUUAUCUGUGGUUAUUUUAAUAGUAGCACCUUGUGGGAGGAUCCAUUCUCACUCCUCAGACCUAAAAAGUUCCUUUCUGAUGUAUCAGACCUGCCC